UACGAAGGGGGCAAGCGUUGUUCGGAAUUACUGGGCGUAAAGCGCACGUAGGCGGUCUUUUAAGUCGGGGGUGAAAUCCUGGAGCUCAACUCCAGAACUGCCUUUGAUACUGAAGAUCUUGAGUUCGGGAGAGGUGAGUGGAACUGCGAGUGUAGAGGUGAAAUUCGUAGAUAUUCGCAAGAACACCAGUGGCGAAGGCGGCUCACUGGCCCGAUACUGACGCUGAGGCACGAAAGCGUGGGGAGCAAACAGG
rnacentral:rRNA from 1 species